CUUUCCCUGGAGGAAGAGACUAGGGGUGAUAGUGUCGGUCCUGGAGCUCUAUUCCUUCAAGUCUGCCUCUAAAGCCAUUUCCUCCAUAGAAUCUUUCCUGGUACGUUUAAUCUCCCAGGGAGCCACUUACUCUCUUUGACCUUCCCAAUCCAAGUUGCGGAGAACUUACCUAUUCAGUGGACAAGCCUGACUUUUUCAGAACGAGAUGGAGAAGCAGAUUGAGAAUCCUCAGGGAAGAGCCCUGCCCGUCACCAUGGACUCUAGACCCGAGUCCACAGGGUGACAAGGCUCAGCCACUGCACCACUGGGGUCAGCCCCAGCUCGCCCUCCGCCACCUGUGAAAAAGGGAUUCAAGUAGCGUGCUUGGUGCUCCCCACUUCCCUCCUGCACCUGUGUGGUGGAGGCCGGGCAGCCAGAGACACUUGGGAACCUGCCUUGAAGAACAGUCAGGAGUCAGAGAGAUGAGCAGAGGACCCUGAGCCUGGGUGGCCUUUCCUUGGGACCAAAGGGGGAAAGGUCACCUUUGGGAUCAACCCCAGGACACCAUCUUGAGCAGCACUGACAGCAACUCUUUUGAAAGCUCACACCUGCAGUGCUGGCCCUGUCCCUCCUCAUUUGUUCAUUCAUUCAACACACAGUCUUGGGGUUCCUUCUGUGGGUUGAGCUCCUCUCUGGUAGAGAAGAUUGACAUUCUCUGCCAUGGGGAGAGUGUGGAGAGAGACUCUCCUCACUGGGAGGAUCAGGGAAGACUUCUUGGAGGAGGUGGCACUGGAGCUGGCAUUGAGGCCUGAUGUCUGCGCUGGCUGUCCACAAAGCUGAGUGAGAAAUUCCAGGCUGAUGUGAGUGAAAGAGAGGCUCCAGCUGGCCCUGACCUUGCCCUGGCCUGCGCACCCCAGUGGCGUCGGACGCCUUUCCCAGGGCUCAGGCCUGGUGUGGGUGGCAGGGAUUCCCCUGAAUGGAGCCUGGGCUUGCUCCCCCGCUGAGAUUCCAGAUCCUGCCUGUGACUUUUCCAUGGGCCAUCACACCCCGGUGCUGCAGGAAGGAGGACAGAGGGAAUUGGUUUCCUCUGAGCAUGCGGCUUCUCCUUACCGGCCUGGACCCACUGCCCCCUUUGGGAUGAAGUGGGGAAAUCUUACCUUUGGGAACCUGCGAGAGCAAACUUUGGCGAUUUAGCAGCUGACACCCCAAAAGAAUGAACCUUAGGCGUCCAACCUCGCUCCCUGGCGCCUACAUCAGUACUCAAUAAAUCCUUGUGAAUGACGGAA
rnacentral:lncRNA from 1 species